AUUGAACGCUGGCGGCAUGCUUUGCACAUGCAAGUCGAACGGUAACAGGCCGCAAGGUGCUGACGAGUGGCGAACGGGUGAGUAAUGCAUCGGAACGUGCCCAGUCGUGGGGGAUAACUACUCGAAAGAGUAGCUAAUACCGCAUACGAUCUAUGGAUGAAAGCGGGGGACCGUAAGGCCUCGCGCGAUUGGAGCGGCCGAUGUCAGAUUAGGUAGUUGGUGGGGUAAAGGCUCACCAAGCCAACGAUCUGUAGCUGGUCUGAGAGGACGACCAGCCACACUGGGACUGAGACACGGCCCAGACUCCUACGGGAGGCAGCAGUGGGGAAUUUUGGACAAUGGGCGCAAGCCUGAUCCAGCAAUGCCGCGUGCAGGAAGAAGGCCUUCGGGUUGUAAACUGCUUUUGUACGGAACGAAACGGCUCUGGUUAAUACCCGGGGCUAAUGACGGUACCGUAAGAAUAAGCACCGGCUAACUACGUG
rnacentral:rRNA from 1 species